UACGGAGGAUGCAAGCGUUAUCCGGAAUGAUUGGGCGUAAAGCGUCCGCAGGUGGCAAUGUAAGUCUGCUGUUAAAGAGUCUAGCUCAACUAGAUAAAAGCAGUGGAAACUACAUAGCUAGAGUACGUUCGGAGCAGAGGGAAUUCCUGGUGUAGCGGUGAAAUGCGUAGAGAUCAGGAAGAACACCGGUGGCGAAGGCGCUCUGCUAGGCCGUAACUGACACUGAGGGACGAAAGCUAGGGGAGCGAACAGG
rnacentral:rRNA from 1 species